GAAAGCCUGAUGCAGCAACGCCGCGUGAGUGAUGAAGGCUUUCGAGUCGUAAAGCUCUUUGAUCAGGGAUGAUAAUGACAGUACCUGAAAAACAAGCCACGGCUAACUACGUGCCAGCAGCCGCGGUAAUACGUAGGUGGCGAGCGUUGUCCGGAAUUACUGGGCGUAAAGGAUGCGUAGGUGGAUAUUUAAGUGGGAUGUGAAAUCCCCGGGCUCAACCCGGGAACUGCAUUCCAAACUGGAUAUCUAGAGUGCAGGAGAGGAAAGCGGAAUUCCUAGUGUAGCGGUGAAAUGCGUAGAUAUUAGGAGGAACACCAGUGGCGAAGGCGGCUUUCUGGACUGUAACUGACACUGAGGCAUGAAAGCGUGGGUAGCAAACAGGAUUAGAUACCCUGGUAGUCC
rnacentral:rRNA from 4 species